ACGGAAGGCAGCAGUGGGGAAUAUUGGGCAAUGGGCGCAAGCCUGACCUAGCGACGCCGCGUGAGGGAAGAAGGUCUUCGGAUUGUAAACCUCUUUCAGCAGGGAAGACCAAGAGACGGUACCUGCAGAAGAAGUCACGGCUAACUACGUGCCAGCAGCCGCGGUAAUACGUAGGUGGCGAGCGUUAUCCGGAAUUACUGGGUGUAAAGGGUGUGUAGGCGGAGAAGCAAGUCAGGCGUGAAACUUAUGGGCUCAACCCAUAAACUGCGCUUGAAACUGUUUCCCUUGAGAGUGGGAGAGGUUAACGGAAUUCCUGGUGUAGUAGUGAAAUGCGUAGAUAUCAGGAGGAACACCGGUGGCGAAGGCGGUUAACUGGACCACAACUGACGCUGAGACGCGAAAGCGUGGGGAGCAAACAGGAUUAGAUACCCUGGUA
rnacentral:rRNA from 1 species